UUACGGCCACAUUACGUUGAAAAAUCCGGUUCCCGUACGAUCACCAAAGUUAAGCAAUAUCGAUCCUGUUCAGUACCUCUAUGUGCAACCGCUUGUGAAUAAAAGGUUUUGUAAG